CCUGCCUCUGGGCCAGGAUGCCUAGCAAAGGGACCUUUCUCUCUCUUUCCAGGGUCACAUACUGGAGAGAAGGAGAGACUUCUUAUCUGCACUGACCGGGAGCCGACAAUUUGUGGCUGCCUUCCAACGGAUGUGUGACUCCAAGCACUUUGGCCAUGUGGAGCCCCAUUUUCCUUAUCUGCAAAAUGUAGCAAGUAAUCUUCAACCCGGCAGAGGACUUGAGAUAAUGUGUGUCAACAGUGAACGUUUCAUAGGGAAAACUUAUGAAAUGCUUUGAAAUGGACCAAAGGAUUAUUGGAUGUCUUGAAUGGAAAUUGAGGUCUUCAACACACCUGUUGUGUCAUAAAGAAUUUGGCUGGUAUUUGCCUCUGGUUCCUGAAAAGGAGUCUUCAAGCCCUUGGAAUAAUCCAAGUGCAUGUGAAGACACGGAGAGAGUUUCGUCAUUACCAGCCAGGAGGGACAGGCCAGUGGUGCAAUGGAUAACGCGUUGGACUAUGGAUCAGAAGAUUCCAUUACCAGCCAGGAAGUGGGCUCUCAUCAAAUACCAACUCUACCAGCGUGUUAGUCUUCCCAGCCUGCCUACCCUCCCCAGCCUACAGACUGAGAUCACUGUGAUAAAUAAAUGUUUAUGGUUUAA